UACAGAGGGUGCGAGCGUUAAUCGGAAUUACUGGGCGUAAAGCGCGCGUAGGCGGACCUGCAAGUCGGGGGGUGAAAGCCCGAGGCUCAACCUCGGAACUGCCUUCGAUACUGCGGGUCUCGAGUCCGGGAGAGGUGAGUGGAAUUCCUAGUGUAGAGGUGAAAUUCGUAGAUAUUAGGAAGAACACCAGUGGCGAAGGCGGCUCACUGGCCCGGUACUGACGCUGAGGCGCGAAAGCGUGGGGAGCAAACAGG
rnacentral:rRNA from 1 species